rnacentral:rRNA from 1 species
ACAUACGACCAUAGGGUGUGGAAAACAGGGCUUCCCGUCCGCUCAGCCGUACUUAAGCCACACGCCGGUGAGUUAGUAGUUGGCUGGGUGACCACCAGCGAAUCCUCACUGUUGUAUGUU